GAUGAACGCUGGCGGCGUGCCUAAUACAUGCAAGUCGAGCGAACGGACGAGAAGCUUGCUUCUCUGAUGUUAGCGGCGGACGGGUGAGUAACACGUGGAUAACCUACCUAUAAGACUGGGAUAACUUCGGGAAACCGGAGCUAAUACCGGAUAAUAUUUUGAACCGCAUGGUUCAAAAGUGAAAGACGGUCUUGCUGUCACUUAUAGAUGGAUCCGCGCUGCAUUAGCUAGUUGGUAAGGUAACGGCUUACCAAGGCAACGAUGCAUAGCCGACCUGAGAGGGUGAUCGGCCACACUGGAACUGAGACCCGGUCCAGACUCCUACGGGAGGCAGCAGUAGGGAAUCUUCCGCAAUGGGCGAAAGCCUGACGGAGCAACGCCGCGUGAGUGAUGAAGGUCUUCGGAUCGUAAAACUCUGUUAUUAGGGAAGAACAUAUGUGUAAGUAACUGUGCACAUCUUGACGGUACCUAAUCAGAAAGCCACGGCUAACUACG
rnacentral:rRNA from 1 species